rnacentral:rRNA from 1 species
UACAGAGGGUGCAAGCGUUGUUCGGAAUUAUUGGGCGUAAAGCGCGUGUAGGCGGCUUUGCAAGUCGGGUGUGAAAGCCCUCAGCUCAACUGAGGAAGUGCGCCCGAAACUGCAGAGCUUGAGUACCGGAGAGGAUGGCGGAAUUCCCCAAGUAGAGGUGAAAUUCGUAGAUAUGGGGAGGAACACCAGCGGCGAAGGCGGCGAUCUGGGAAGAUACUGACGCUGAGGUGCGAAAGCGUGGGGAGCAAACAGG